GACGAACGCUGGCGGCGUGCCUAAUACAUGCAAGUAGAACGCUGAAGGAGGAGCUUGCUUCUCUGGAUGAGUUGCGAACGGGUGAGUAACGCGUAGGUAACCUGCCUGGUAGCGGGGGACAACUAUUGGAAACGAUAGCUAAUACCGCAUAAGAGUAGAUGUUGCAUGACAUUUGCUUAAAAGGUGCAAUUGCAUCACUACCAGAUGGACCUGCGUUGUAUUAGCUAGUUGGUGAGGUAACGGCUCACCAAGGCGACGAUACAUAGCCGACCUGAGAGGGUGAUCGGCCACACUGGGACUGAGACACGGCCCAGACUCCUACGGGAGGCAGCAGUAGGGAAUCUUCGGCAAUGGACGGAAGUCUGACCGAGCAACGCCGCGUGAGUGAAGAAGGUUUUCGGAUCGUAAAGCUCUGUUGUAAGAGAAGAACGAGUGUGAGAGUGGAAAGUUCACACUGUGACGGUAUCUUACCAGAAAGGGACGGCUAACUACGUG
rnacentral:rRNA from 1 species